rnacentral:rRNA from 1 species
GCUUACGGCCAUACCAGCCUGGGUACGCCCGAUCUCGUCUGAUCUCUGAAGCUAAGCAGGGUCGGGCCUGGUUAGUACUUGGAUGUGAGACCGCCUGGAAAUACCAGGUGCUGUAAGCA